CCUAGACAAAGGCUUGUAGGGCCACUGUUAUUUUUAUUACCUAAUUUAGUGAUUAGUUCAAGGUUUUAAUAUUUAUUUACCUCUCAACCCAGUAUCAGAAUCAUCGGUAUCACAAGGAUUAAGACGGAUUCUUUUUCUUUUCUUUGGUGCAAUUGGAGAUUCAUCAUCUGUGUGAUUAUUAUUGUCUUUUCUUGGAGAGGUGGUUGUCUGGAAGAAAUCUCUCGAAAGCGAGAAGGCCGC